GACGAACGCUGGCGGCGUGCCUAAUACAUGCAAGUAGAACGCUGAAGGAGGAGCUUGCUUCUCUGGAUGAGUUGCGAACGGGUGAGUAACGCGUAGGUAACCUGCCUGGUAGCGGGGGAUAACUAUUGGAAACGAUAGCUAAUACCGCAUAAGAGUAGAUGUUGCAUGACAUUUGCUUAAAAGGUGCAAUUGCAUCACUACCAGAUGGACCUGCGUUGUAUUAGCUAGUUGGUGGGGUAACGGCUUACCAAGGCGACGAUACAUAGCCGACCUGAGAGGGUGAUCGGCCACACUGGGACUGAGACACGGCCCAGACUCCUGCGGGAGGCAGCAGUAGGGAAUCUUCGGCAAUGGACGGAAGUCUGACCGAGCAACGCCGCGUGAGUGAAGAAGGUUUUCGGAUCGUAAAGCUCUGUUGUAAGAGAAGAACGAGUGUGAGAGUGGAAAGUUCACACUGUGACGGUAUCUUACCAGAAAGGGACGGCUAACUACGUG
rnacentral:rRNA from 1 species